UUAGCAUGGAAUAAUAAAAUAGGACGUGUGGUUCUAUUUUGUUGGUUUCUAGGACCGCCGUAAUGAUUAAUAGGGACAGUCGGGGGCAUCAGUAUUCAAUUGUCAGAGGUGAAAUUCUUGGAUUUAUUGAAGACUAACUACUGCGAAAGCAUUUGCCAAGGAUGUUUUCAUUAAUCAGGAACGAAAGUUAGGGGAUCGAAGACGAUCAGAUACCGUCGUAGUCUUAACCAUAAACUAUGCCGACUAGGGAUCGGACGAUGUUAAAAAUUGACUCGUUCGGCACCUUACGAGAAAUCAAAGUGCUUGGGCUCCAGGGGGAGUAUGGUCGCAAGGCUGAAACUUAAAGAAGUUGACGGAAGGGCACCACCAGGGGUGGAGCCUGCGGCUUAAUUUGACUCAACACGGGGAAACUCACCAGGUCCAGACACAAUGAGGAUUGACAGAUUGAGAGCUCUUUCUUGAUUUUGUGGGUGGUGGUGCAUGGCCGUUCUUAGUUGGUGGAGUGAUUUGUCUGCUUAAUUGCGAUAACGAACGAGACCUUAACCUGCUAACUAGCCCGUAUUGCUUUGGCAGUACGCUGGCUUCUUAGAGGGACUAUCGGCUCAAGCCGAUGGAAGUUUGAGGCAAUAACAGGUCUGUGAUGCCCUUAGAUGUUCUGGGCCGCACGCGCGCUACACUGACGGAGCCAGCGAGUACUCCCUUGGCCGAAAGGCCUGGGUAAUCUUGUUAAACUCCGUCGUGCUGGGGAUAGAGCAUUGCAAU
rnacentral:rRNA from 1 species